rnacentral:rRNA from 1 species
GAUCCUGGCUCAGGAUGAACGCUAGCUACAGGCUUAACACAUGCAAGUCGAGGGGAAACGAUAUUGGAAGCUUGCUUCCGAUAGGGGUCGACCGGCGCACGGGUGAGUAACGCGUAUCCUACCUGCCCAUCACUUGGGAAUAACCUUGCGAAAGUAAGACUAAUGUCCAAUGACAUUUAUAGAAGGCAUCUGAAAUGAAUUAAAGAUUUAUCGGUGAUGGAUGGGGAUGCGU